rnacentral:rRNA from 1 species
UACGUAGGGUGCAAGCGUUGUCCGGAAUUAUUGGGCGUAAAGAGCUCGUAGGCGGUUUGUCGCGUCUGCUGUGAAAACCUAAGGCUCAACCUUGGGCUUGCAGUGGGUACGGGCAGACUAGAGUGCGGUAGGGGUGACUGGAAUUCCUGGUGUAGCGGUGGAAUGCGCAGAUAUCAGGAGGAACACCGGGUGGCGAAGGCGGGGUCUC